rnacentral:rRNA from 1 species
UACACCGGGAUGUUCAUAACCCUUUGUUGUCCGACUCUGUUGCCUCCGGGGCGACCCUGCCUUCGGGCGGGGGCUCCGGGUGGACACUUCAAACUCUUGCGUAACUUUGCAGUCUGAGUAAACUUAAUUAAUAAAUUAAAACUUUUAACAACGGAUCUCUUGGUUCUGGCAUCGAUGAAGAACGCAGCGAAAUGCGAUAAGUAAUGUGAAUUGCAGAAUUCAGUGAAUCAUCGAAUCUUUGAACGCACAUUGCGCCCCCUGGUAUUCCGGGGGGCAUGCCUGUUCGAGCGUCAUUUCACCACUCAAGCCUCGCUUGGUAUUGGGCAACGCGGUCCGCCGCGUGCCUCAAAUCGACCGGCUGGGUCUUCUGUCCCCUAAGCGUUGUGGAAACUAUUCGCUAAAGGGUGUUCGGGAGGCUACGCCGUAAAACAACCCCAUUUCUAAGGUUGACCUCGGAUCAGGUAGGGAUACCCGCUGAACUUAAGCAUAUCAAA